rnacentral:ncRNA from 1 species
UAGUAUAGGAUGGAAGACUAGAAGAAUCUUAAGUGUCGUAUGAUAAAGCGAAAAGUGUGCACAUGUACAAUAACACUAAGGGGAAACUCAUAAAGACCCCCAGAGAUGAUGGUGGGGGUAAAAUGAAGCAUAUGAACUGAAACAUCUAAGUAAUGUGUAUAAAUAAAUUGAACGAGAUUGCGUGAAUAGUGGCGAGCAAAAACGGAAGAACCGGACGAGCUAGAUACCCCGUCAGGAGGGCACCUCCCUGUGGGAUCUAAAGAAUAGACGAGGGUUUCUUGAUGCCCCCCGUGACCGAGCUACUGUGACCCGUCACGGGCAAUGCUACACGGGCAAUGUUAUCUUUUGACGGCAAGAGCCCGCCUACCGGGAUCGAGAGCUGAAUGAUAAGAGAUUGGAAGAACAGAUGGGGAAAGGAUCCUGUAAGUUGGCGUAGCACACAGUAUCGUAGUAUCCGUACUCCCUACGAGAGGGAAGUGGAUGGUAGCGUACUCGGUGGAGAACGGAAGCCCUCCUACACUGGUGGAGGGUAUUCCUUGGUGUCCCUCCUACGCUCCCCCCUAGUGGAGGUGGGUGCCACCUACAUUUGUGAGGGCUCACACUCGAGUGGUGGAGGGUAGCCACACUCCUACACUGCCCCCUUUGGGGGGUGUACCCUCAAGGAGCUACGAUGGCUCAGACAUCAAAAGGCAGAAGAGAACACGUGAAAUUUUCUUUGAAUAACGGUGAACUCCAUCGAAGAUUAACGAAAGUACUUUAUCGAUAGCGAACGAGUACUGUGAAGGAAAGUCUGAAAAAGAACCACUAAGUGAAGUGACAUAAAUCAAGAAAUCCGGUGUGAAAUUACAGUUAAAGUUGAAAGAAACAACAACGUACCUAUUGCAUAAAUGGUCAGCGAGUAUAAAGGAAUAGCUAGUUUGCCCGGUCCUAAGGAUACUAUAUAAAUUAGAGUAGCGAAAGCAAGUUUGAAGGAGUGUAAGUGAAUUUUUUAUGAUCCGAAAGGGAAGUGGAUUUGGCCGUGGUCAGCCCAGAUAGUUUAUCGAAAAUUGGAAGGGCGAACUCGGAAGAGUUGUAACGCUAUGAGAUGAACUGCAGCUAGUAGGUGAAAUGCCAAUCGACAUAUAUAUAUAUAUAUAUAUAUAUACAUAUGCAUAUACAUAUAUAUAUAUAUAUAUAUAUAUAUAUAUAUGUAUAUAUCUAUAUAUAUAUAUAUAUCAUUACGAGAAUGGCAAUGAUUAAACUAGGGGUCUUUGUCCAAAGAUUACUAACUUUAAUUAAACUCAGAAUAAGAACGAAGAAGGAGAUUGUACAGGCUAUUGGUGAUACGGUUGAUAGUCAAAAAAUAGAAAGCCUAAAUCAGUACUUAAUGUCACAAAGAGUAGUGGUCAACCCCGGUGGCCGAUCUCUAGGAGUGUAAACUAUACUGUACUUCACUCCCUUGAGGUUGACCACCGGAGUGACCGAGAUAGUAAAGUGCUUAAGAUUGUGAAAAAUCAUUGCCAACAAGCUUGCUUCCCGAUGCUAUUGCAUACGUUACCGCAUAGUAGUAUUCGUCAAUGGGGAUGCGUCGAAUUUCCCAUCCUUCUCUCAUCAUUGACAACAUCUUUGACUCUUUAGAAUUUCGAGAAUUCUGCUAGAUUUACUUCGUUAAAAGGAUGUCUUUUACCUUGUUAAAGCGCCUUCUAUGUCCCUGACAGAUCUGGUCCAUGAUUGCUCAAUUAAAUGCUCGACAUGUUUCUUUUGAGUGUUUUGAAACCUCACCCAUGUACAUUUCAAUACGAUGUUGCAUCGUAGCAGCAUGGUUAUAAAUGAUUGUGAAUUUUUAACGAUCUCUUGCUCGAGAAUAAUAUUGAAUAUAAGCUGCGUUAUAUUAGUUUGUUUCUGGGAGAAACCCCUCCCUACGAUCAGGAAUAACCGAUAGUGAUGCAACUAGCGACUGUAAAGCCUGGUAAUGCACUCUCUUAGAGGCAAUAGUAAUAGUACUCUUUGACUGAGAAGUUGUAGCUACCUUAGGAUCACUUGAGGGACCUGAUAAAGGUACUUGAGGCGCUAGUGAAACAUUUGAAUGCCCACUAUGUUCUUGUGAACUCUCACUAGGCUGAGGUUGUUGAAAAUCUUUAGACUUUCAGCAUAUUCUUCAUGAUCUAAAACUCGGCAAAUUAAUCCCGUAAGUUAGAAAUAAGGGAGAGCCAGAUGUUGAAGAUGAGAGUAUACGACGUCCGCUUGCGGCGCUUGCAGGUCCUGCGGAGAUGUACGCUACGAUCCUGUAUCUAUCAUCCUCCGCUCGAGGGAUUGCCCUUCGAGUGACUCAGGGAUCUACUAAUAUCUACCUAACAUAGAAUAACGAGCACCAGCUAAAUCCGGUAAUCUGCAAAAAUGAAGAUUGAAGUAUAGAAUAUGACGUUUACCCGAUGAUAGCAUCUAAAAAAAGUGAUUGUGCCUCUCCUAUAAAGACUAUUCAGUGUUAACAAAAUUCCUUGACUGAUAAUUGUAGUCGUGCAUGAAUAGUGCAACGAACGUUCUACUUUAUCAAAGAUCAAGUCGACGAAAUUG